GCUGCUGCUGCCCGGUGCCUGGCUAGCACUCCGUUCAGGGGGUGGGGGGAGGCUUUUCGCUGGUGCCGGCUGCACGUUGCACAGGAGAGAGCGUAAGAGAGUAGUAGAGGAGCUGGUGGCCGUGGGGCAAGUCCUGCCCCCGUGCCUAGAGUGAAAGGGGUUGUGUGGUUGCUGAGAGGGUGAAUGAAGCCAGGAGGAGGGGAAGGAGAAGGAGGAGGAGGCGCUGCAGGGAUUGGGAUGCGCCCAGUAGCCCCGCUGUUCACUCAGGGCCGGGCCAGGCCGGAGACACCAUCACCACUACCACUACCACCGCCUCCUACUUGUUCCAGUGCUGACUGCAUCACAAGGCAAGCCAGAAGGGUGGUCCAUUCAAACUUUGGAUUUAUUCAUGGUCUUUGUACAGCAGCCCCUUCUCCCAUCAUCACUACUGGGAAGUGUACUAUAAAUCAGGUAAGAGUUUCAUGAUGCUAUUUAUUUUGUAUCUUAGGGUUUAGGCAGUUUGGCCUGUAAAGAAAAAUAUU
rnacentral:lncRNA from 1 species